AAUCACUCUUAACUUUAUUUGAGUGGUCCGUUGUUACGCACACCUACAAUAAAGCAUGCAAUGUUAGUUAAAACACACAACAUUAGUUAAAACAUAUAAGAUGGUUUCAACACAUGCAAGAUUCCUUGAAAACCAAUCUGAAUCUUCUACUGCCUUUGAUGAUCACGAUGCGCGUUUGCAACAGUUGAAUGAUCAAAUUUGUGAACAAGAGCAGCAAUUAGCUAUUCUGCAUGCACAACAGUGGCUCAAUGAGUUGGAAGCACAGAUUUGUGGAGAUACUCUCAUCAAGCCUCAAUUAACUCAGAAUAUCACCACAGAACCACCACAAAAUCGAUCUGUGAACAAUACAGAUGAUGAUAAUGAAACACCACUGAGGUUGAAGAUUAAGAACUAUUAUCAAGGAAAAAAUAUGUUAGAAUUCAAGGACUAUAAAGAUCACAUGUUGACUCUCUUUACAUGCCACCACCAGUAU
rnacentral:sRNA from 1 species